UCUUUAAAACAAAUUUCGAAAAUAGUUAACACUUUCCGAGAUAAUAAGUAUCUUCCGAUAAAUUUAUCACUCCGUAUAUCGAAAUUGUACACUUCAAAUUUGAAUACGGCGAAACAACAAAUUUUCUUUUAUAAUAUACAAAAAGUGCACAUUUAAUUACACAUUUAUUUGUAUAGUUUUAUUUCCUUUAAAUAAUAUAAAAGAAAACACUUCGAUCGCGAAAUGCAAUAAUAAUUUACACGCA